UACAGAGGUCUCAAGCGUUGUUCGGAUUCAUUGGGCGUAAAGGGUGUGUAGGUGGCGCGCUAAGUCGGGUGUGAAAUUUCGGAGCUUAACUCCGAAACUGCAUUCGAUACUGGCGUGCUUGAGGACUGGAGAGGAGGCUGGAAUUCAUGGUGUAGCAGUGAAAUGCGUAGAGAUCAUGAGGAAGACCAGUGGCGAAGGCGGGUCUCUGGACAGUACCUGACACUGAGACACGAAGGCCAGGGGAGCAAACGGG
rnacentral:rRNA from 1 species